UACGUAGGGUGCGAGCGUUAAUCGGAAUUACUGGGCGUAAAGCGUGUGCAGGCGGUUUGUUAAGACAGGUGUGAAAUCCCCGGGCUUAACCUGGGAACUGCGCUUGUUACUGGCAGGCUUGAGUGUGGCAGAGGGGGGUGGAAUUCCACGUGUAGCAGUGAAAUGCGUAGAGAUGUGGAGGAACACCGAUGGCGAAGGCAGCCCCCUGGGCUAACACUGACGCUCAUGCACGAAAGCGUGGGGAGCAAACAGG
rnacentral:rRNA from 1 species